UUGAUAGUCGGACGGCGGCUCAACACAGCAAUUCGAGCGGUAAACGAGUUACGAACCUCGGGGAACGUAACGGCUCGAGCGGCGGACGGGUGAGUAAUGCCUAGGAAAUUGCCUGUGUGGGGGUAACCAUUGGAAACGAUGGCUAAUACCGCAUGAUGCCUACGGGCCAAAGAGGGGGACCUUCGGGCCUCUCGCGUCAGGUAUGCCUAGGUGGGUUAGCUAGUUGGUGAGGUAAGGGCUCACCAAGGCAACGAUCCUAGCUGUCUGAGAGGUGUCAGCCACACUGGAACUGAGACACGUCCAGACUCUACGGGAGGCAGCAGUGGGGAUAUUGCACAUGGGCGCAAGCUGUGCAGCCUGCCGCUGGUGAAGAAGGCCUCGGUUGAAAGCACUUUCAUCUGAGGAAGUGUGAGUAUAGCUGCUUAUUUGACUUAGCGACAGAAGAAGCACCGGUAAUCCUGCCAGCAGCCGCGUAAUA
rnacentral:rRNA from 1 species